UAAAGCCAUGCACCGAAGCUGCGGAUUCCAGUUUACUGGAGUGGUAGCGGAGCGUCGUCCAAGCCUGCGAAGGUGAACCGCGAGGUUCGCUGGAGGUACGACGAGUGAGAAUGCUGACAUGAGUAGCGAUAAAGAGUGUGAGAAACACUCUCGCCGAAAUCCCAAGGGUUCCUGCGCAAGGCUAAUCCGCGCAGGGUGAGUCGGCCCCUAAGGCGAGACCGAAAGGUGUAGUCGAUGGGA
rnacentral:rRNA from 13 species